AUCAAUACUGUAACAAGAUUCAUCUAAAAGGAACUGCUUCAGAUUUUCUUUAAACUUUGGCAUGUUUCCAACCAGUUCUUUAAUGUGCAGUGGGAGGGCAUUAAAAAUCUUGGUGCCACUGUAUAGAACCCCCUUCUGGACCAUGCUGUUCGUUUUUAGCUCAUAAUGGAUAACAAGUUUCCUUCGGGUUUUAUAACUCUGGUACGAGCUAUUGAUUUUGAAUAAGUUGCUAUUUUUUGAAACAAAGCACAUCAGGGAAAAAAUGUACUGAGCAGGUGUUGUAAAAAUUUGUAGAGCUCUAAACAGAUCCCUGCACGAGGGCCUAGGAUAUACUCCACACAUAAUUCUUAUUGCUCGCUUCUGUGCAUGGAACACUUUUUGCUAUUGGUUGAUUUCCCCAAAAUAUUAUACCAUAGGCCAUAAGUUGGUGAAAAUAGCCAAAAUAUGCAGUUUUUAUUGUGCUCAGUUUACCCUUUUGCACAGAUCUUGAAUAUGGUGGUGCCGCUUCAUUUUGCUAUCUAUAAGCAGAUCCAAGAAUUUGGAGGACUAAACCUUCAAAAUCUCGUGCUCACCCAUUUUUAGGUUCAUUUCAUUAGUAACAUUUGUGUUAGAAGAGAAAUGAAGGUAAUUUGUCUUUUUUAGAAUGCCUGUAAGGCCAUUGGUUUCAAACUAGUUUGUCAAAUCUGCAAAAGCUUUAUUUGCAGCCUCAUUUGACACAUUCCCUGAGAGAUUAUUAACUGAUAAAGUAGUGUUGUCAGCAAACAUGAGUAUUUUCCCAUAUUGUGUACAUAGUGCUAAGUCAUUUAUAAAUAUUAGAAAGAGCAGUGGUCCCAGUACUGAGCCUUGGGGUACUCCUGCAGUAAUGGAGCCCCAUUCGGAAGUUACCUGGCCACUAUGCAGUCCUUCCACGAUUACUUUCUGCUUUCUAUCACACAGAUAGGAUUCAAGCCACGUGCCUAGGGUUCCACCCAUUCCUAGGGUCUUGGCUUUACUCAAGAGAAUAUGGUGACUUACACUGUCAAAAGCUUUUGACAGGUUGCAAAAUAUUGCAACCGUCGUCAUAUUAUUAUUUAUGGCUUCCAUAACAUUGUCAACAAAGGCAUGUAUUGCAUCCACGGUUGGCACCCCUUUCCGAAAGCCAAACUGGCUAUUGCUGAGGAUGUUAUAUUUACUAAGAUGCUCAACCAUUCUGCUAUGCAUCAAUUUCUCUAGUACCUUGGAGAAAAAUGAGAGUAAGGAAAUUGGUCGAUAGUUUGUAGCCUCAGUCUUUCCUACCUUUUUAUAAAUUGGUCGUAUAAGCCCAUAUUUUAGCCUGUCAGGAAAAACACCUUCUUCCAGUGAUGUAUUACUAAUAUGGCAGAGGACUGUACUUAUUUCUUUACAACAGUAUUUCAGUAACUUGCUGGAAAUGUUGUCAACUCCAGCAGAAUUUUUACAGUUUAAAGACAUAAUUAUUUUUUCUAAUUCUAUCACUGUAGUUUUUCGAAGAUGCAUCUCAUCUAUUUUGUUAGUUAAGGUGUUAUGCAAGUAUUCUGAGGCGUUCUUUACAGAACCCUGGUAUUCUAUUUGGUUGGCGACUGUUAGGAAAUGAUUGUUAAAGAUGUUAGCCACCAUUUCAGGAGCAUCCACCGAAAGGCUCCCAAUUCUUAAGCUAAUCACUUCUUUGGCAGGUAGGCUUUUCCCCUGCCUCGCUUUUAACAUAUUUCCAUAUGGUUUUCAUUUUGUUAUUUGAUUUGUCAGUUUCCUUUUUUAGAUACAUACUUUUAGAUUUCUGGAUCACCUUCCUUAAUAUCUUAAGAGUACACUUUAUAUUGCCCCAUCACUGCAGUAUUGUUGGACUGUCUGGCUGAGGCAUACAAUUCUCUUCUAUUUUUACAUGAAAUUUUGAUACCCUGGGUAAUCCAUGGCUUAAAUGCAGGGUUAUAUUGAUUUUCUCUGACUCUUUUAUUUGGAAACACCUCCUCAAAAAGAUUUGUUGUUAAAUUAAUAAAUACAUUAAAUUUUGUGUUGACAUCUGCUAAGUUGAAUACUUCAGACCAGUCAACUAACUGUAGCUUCUGCUUGUAUGUCUCCAUUGUUUCUUUAUUUAUUGGUCUCACAUUUUUCCAGAUAGCUUUUGGUUUUCUGUUAAGAUUUAAAUAGGGGAUUGUCAGAAGUAUAGCAUCAUGCUCUGACAGCCCAUUUAGGACUUGACUGACUGUCAAGCUACUGUGCCUAGACUUAUCAACAAACACGUUAUCAAUUAGAGUACUGGAGUGGUCAGUUACCCUAGUGGGAAAUUUAACUACUUGCAUUAGAUUGUAACAGCUCAUUAGUUGCUCCAGCUCCAUUCUGUCGUAACUUUCAUUCAGGAAAUUUACAUUAAAGUCGCCUAGUAUUAUGACUGAAAAGUUUUUUGUGUACAAUUUAUCACAGAUUGCAGAUUCAGUUAACAUAUUUUUGCCCCACUAGAACACAUUUUUCAGUUUUCAUUCACCAGAAAUUAAAUGGAAUAAUGGAUGAAAGUUCUAUGUCAGCUAAGCCGCUUGCACACGGGAUGAGGCAACUAAUGUUGAUGUGCACGCAAACGGGAUACACCAUGUCAUGAGGCACAGCACAGCUGGAACACGAGAUGAGCCAGUUAACGUGAUCUUGAGCUCUCAGCGCGAUCCAGCAGCAGUUGUUGAAUUUAUUUAGCACGCGCGUUUUAUGCCCAGCACACGAAGCACACGUUUCACCAAGUGAAUAUGGAUCAAACUCAAUUAGCUGUGUUGGCUUUAUUGGCUAUUGUGGAAGAUGAGCGGAGAAAGCACCGCAGAAGUUUAUGGACAUGCCAGUGGAUUCGGCAGCGCGAUAAUGGUAGAGGAACAAUUCAUAUGCUGCACCAUGAACUGAGAUUACAAGACGCAGAGUCUUUUCGGAACUUCACGAGAAUGGAUGAAGACGUGUUUUCGAAGUUACUGAGUAUAAUUGGCAGUGACAUUUGCUGCCAAGACACCAACAUGAGACAAUGGAUAAAACCGUUAUCGACUGGCAGUCACUUUUAAGACUUUUCCGACUGGAGAAACGUUCCAGUCUCUGGGUUAUGCAACAAGAAUUGCGCCAAAUACAUUGUCAAAAAUCAUUCCAGAAACGCUGCAGGCAAUUCUUAAUAAUUUGGAAAACAAGUGCAUAAAGCUUCCUGCUACUGAAGGGGAAUGGCUGAAAAUUGCCAAAGAAUAUGAAGAAAAAUGGAAUUUCCCCAGGUGUUUGGGAGCUAUAGAUGGGAGGCACAUUGACAUUGUGGCAUCACCCAACAGUGGAACAGUUUAUUUUAAUUAUAAAGAGCGCUUCAGCAUUGUUUUGCUAGCAAUUGCUGAUACUAAUUAUUGAAUAAUUUACGCUGAUGUUGGCACACAGGGGAGGAUUUCAGAUGGUGGUGUCCUUAAAGACACCACAUUUUACAAAAUGUUAGAAACCAAAACUCUAAAUAUAGCACCAUCAACUCCUCUUCCUGGUAGGAGCAAGCCUGUUCCACAUGUUUUCGUUGCUGACGAAGCCUUUGGCCUAGAGGAAAAUAUUGUGAAACCAUUUCCAGGUCUGCAUGAAAAAAAUAGUUGGCAACGUAUUUUUAACUAUAGAGCAUGCAUAGCAAGAAGAGUAAUAGAAAAUGCAUUUGGGAUUAUAAGUGCUGUUUACAGAGUGCUGAGGAAGCAAAUGCUUUCUCAGUCCAGAAAAGGCUACAGUGGUGGCACUAUUCUGUGUUUAUUUACAUAAUUUUCAUCAAAACAGAAAAUCUCAAAGGUACUGUCCAGCAGGAACAUGACAGCGAGGGAGAUGAUGGCAACAUAAUACCUGGGUCCUGGAGGGACACCCCUACUGUGCUGGAGCCACUGCCCAGAACUGGCCAAAGAUCUUCAUUGCUGAAUGACAACAGAAGAGAAUAUGCUGAAUACUUCUGCAGUAUUCAGAGCUCCAUCCCAUGGCAGUAUGGAAAAUAAGUUCCACAUCAUUAUUAAAUGAUGACAUAAAGGAAUAUGCUCUAUUCUUCUGCAGUAUUCAGGACUUCAAACCAUAGCAGUAUGGAGAAUCAUGUUUUUCAAUGAAACUGUUAAUAAUUGUAAAUAUUCACAUUAUGUAAAGCACUAGCACGAAAAAAUG